rnacentral:rRNA from 1 species
AGAGUUUGAUCCUGGCUCAGGAUGAACGCUGGCGGCGUGCUUAACACAUGCAAGUCGAACGAUGAAGCCCAGCUUGCUGGGUGGAUUAGUGGCGAACGGGUGAGUAACACGUGAGUAACCUGCCCUUGACUCUGGGAUAAGCCUGGGAAACUGGGUCUAAUACCGGAUAGGAACGUCCACCGCAUGGUGGGUGUUGGAAAGAUUUAUCGGUCAUGGAUGGACUCGCGGCCUAUCAGCUUGUUGGUGAGGUAAUGGCUCACCAAGGCGACGACGGGUAGCCGGCCUGAGAGGGUGACCGGCCACACUGGGACUGAGACACGGCCCAGACUCCUACGGGAGGCAGCAGUGGGGAAUAUUGCACAAUGGGCGAAAGCCUGAUGCAGCGACGCCGCGUGAGGGAUGACGGCCUUCGGGUUGUAAACCUCUUUCAGUAGGGAAGAAGCGAAAGUGACGGUACCUGCAGAAGAAGCACCGGCUAACUACGUGCCAGCAGCCGCGGUAAUACGUAGGGUGCGAGCGUUAUCCGGAAUUAUUGGGCGUAAAGAGCUCGUAGGCGGUUUGUCGCGUCUGUCGUGAAAGUCCGGGGCUUAACCCCGGAUCUGCGGUGGGUACGGGCAGACUAGAGUGCAGUAGGGGAGACUGGAAUUCCUGGUGUAGCGGUGGAAUGCGCAGAUAUCAGGAGGAACACCGAUGGCGAAGGCAGGUCUCUGGGCUGUAACUGACGCUGAGGAGCGAAAGCAUGGGGAGCGAACAGGAUUAGAUACCCUGGUAGUCCAUGCCGUAAACGUUGGGCACUAGGUGUGGGGACCAUUCCACGGUUUCCGCGCCGCAGCUAACGCAUUAAGUGCCCCGCCUGGGGAGUACGGCC